ACUACUAGAAUAAAGGGAGGCCGUUGGAGCUCGUCCCUCGGUUUGUAAGGUAAUCAAGGUUUGUGCUAAGUGCUUGGGGUUUCCCGAAAGGGAAAGCCGCAUGUAAGCUUGUCCCGUGGAAAUGGAUUAAGCUGUCCUGGUAGCAUCCCUGCCUUCCUUUAAGCUCGUUCUUAUGGGGCGAUGUCUCUACGCUAGGGACCCUAGAGGAGAAACCUCUGCGUGUGUCGUUCUCGUGUUAGCCCUGGUAGCGGCGUUUGAGGAGAACCCUGUGUGCGCAGAGAAGUGUUCCCUUCGGGUGGAACUGCCUGGGGAGACGGUA
rnacentral:lncRNA from 1 species